AAACUAUGUUAAUUUUGUUUUGAAAACAAAAUUUAAGAUUAAAUCUUAUAGUUUU
rnacentral:tRNA from 1 species